rnacentral:rRNA from 1 species
UCGAGCGGAUGAGAAGAGCUUGCUCUUCGAUUCAGCGGCGGACGGGUGAGUAAUGCCUAGGAAUCUGCCUGAUAGUGGGGGACAACGUUUCGAAAGGAACGCUAAUACCGCAUACGUCCUACGGGAGAAAGCAGGGGACCUUCGGGCCUUGCGCUAUCAGAUGAGCCUAGGUCGGAUUAGCUAGUUGGUGAGGUAAUGGCUCACCAAGGCGACGAUCCGUAACUGGUCUGAGAGGAUGAUCAGUCACACUGGAACUGAGACACGGUCCAGACUCCUACGGGAGGCAGCAGUGGGGAAUAUUGGACAAUGGGCGAAAGCCUGAUCCAGCCAUGCCGCGUGUGUGAAGAAGGUCUUCGGAUUGUAAAGCACUUUAAGUUGGGAGGAAGGGCAUUAACCUAAUACGUUAGUGUUUUGACGUUACCGACAGAAUAAGCACCGGCUAACUCUGUGCCAGCAGCCGCGGUAAUACAGAGGGUGCAAGCGUUAAUCGGAAUUACUGGGCGUAAAGCGCGCGUAGGUGGUUUGUUAAGUUGAAUGUGAAAGCCCCGGGCUCAACCUGGGAACUGCAUCCAAAACUGGCAAGCUAGAGUACGGUAGAGGGUGGUGNA